UACGUAGGAGGCGAGCGUUGUCCGGAAUUACUGGGCGUAAAGAGCGCGUAGGCGGCACGGUACGACCGGUGUGAAAGCCCCGGCUCCAACUGGGGAGGGUCACCGGUAACGGUCGAGCUAUGAGUGCAGGAGAGGGAAGUGGAACUCCGGGAGUAGCGGUGAAAUGCGUAGAGACCCGGAGGAACACCAGUGGCGAAGGCGGCUUCCUGGUCUGCGACUGACGCUGUGGCGCGAAAGCUAGGGGAGCAAACGGG
rnacentral:rRNA from 1 species